UACUUGAAGGCUAGGAUUUGUUUGUUUCUGGCCUCAUUCAAAUACUCAACACUCUUGGGAACAUGCUUUCUAACUUUUGAAAACACUUAAGAAUCAUGUCUCUGCAUCCGUUUCUGCUAGAGCCAAUCACCUGUCACGCUUGGAACAGGGAUCGUACCCAGAUUGCCCUUAGCCCCAAUAAUCAUGAAGUGCACAUCUACAAGAAAAAUGGGAGCCAGUGCACGAAAGCUCAUGAGCUGAAGGAACAUAAUGGACACAUCACAGGUAUUGACUGGGAUCCUAAGAGCGACAGCAUCGUCACUUGUGGGGUGGACCGAAACGCGUACGUCUAGAGGCAUCUGGAAGCAUACCCUGGUGAUCCUGAGGAUUAAAACCGCGCAGCCACUUUUGUGAAGUGGUCUCCACCUGAGAAUAAGUUUGCUGUGGGGAGUGGGGCGCGGCUCAUCUCUGUUUGUUACUUUGAGUCUGGAAAUGACUCGUGGGUGAGCAAGCACAUUAAGAAGCCACUUCGUUCCACAGUCCUCAGCUUGAACUGGCAUCCCAACAACGUUUUUCUGGCUGAAGGCUCACGUGACUUCAAGUGCAGAGUGUUUUCUGCCUACAUCAAAGAGGUGGAUGAGAGAAGCCAGCCAGCACUCCCUGGGGCAGCAAGAUGCCUUCUGGUCAGCUGAUAUCUGAAUUUGGUGGCAGUGGCACCAGCGUGCAUGGGUGCAUGGUGUCAGCUUCUCUGCCAGUGGGAGUCGCCUGGCCUGGGUCAGCCAUGACAGCGCUGUGUCCAUUGCUGAUGCCUCAAAAAGUGUGCAGGUUUCUACUCUGAAAACGGAGUUCCUGCCACUGCUGAGUGUGUUGUUCGUCUCAGAGAACAGCGUUGUGGCCGCUGGCCACGACUGCUGCCUGAUGCUAUUUAACUAUGGUGACCGUGGCUGUUUGACCUUUGUGUCCAAACUAGACGUCCCAAAACAGAGCAUCCAGUGCAAAAUGUCUGCCAUGGAAUGCUUCUGCAACAUGGACAGGAGAGCCACAAUUGAGGACUGCAACACAGCCUUGGAGACACCGCACCAGAACAACAUCACUCGGGUGUCUAUUUAUGAGGUGGACAAGCAAGACUAUCGAAAAUUUUGCACUACUGGCAUCGAUGGAGCCAUGACAAUUUGGGAUUUCAAGACCCUGGAGUCUUGCUUCCAGGGCCUCUGGAUAAUGAGAAGCUGACCAAGCCUCUGCCAUCCAGCAUGAAGGACAGAAGGGACUGCGCACACUCUGCCGUUGGCAUGUUGGUGAGGACCGCCGGUCCGUGGUAACACUGUCACAUUAUUAAGCAACUAGAGUGUGUUCGUGUGGAUGUUGUGGGUGACGUGUGGGUUUUAAAGACAGCAGGGGUUUCUUUUUUGUUUUUUCUUAUCUUUUCAUUUUGUUUUGAUUUUGCUAUCUCAUUCCAUUUUUGACCAAAGUAUCUCUUUAAGUAGUUUAUUAUGGAAGAUUGUCACACCAACUUAAAGGGUAAGGGAAGUGUGUAUUGUCUGCUAAAAAAAAUUAAAAACCCAAGUGUGCAAAAAAAAAACCAGCCCUACAGUCAAGGAAUUGAAAUAAGUUGGAGGGAACUAUAAUUUUAGGAUAUUAAGUAUUUUGUUGUUAUUUUUGAGACAGGG